AAACUGUUCUAUUUUUGACGAAUUUAUUCAAGGUACCUAGAAAUCUUAUAAAUUCUUGAAAAAAAUCCUGAAGGUUCAUCUGUGAGUCUAUUGCAUCGUGUUAAAUUUUCAGAAAAUAACUCGAAGUGGUUUGGCCUACAAAAUUCGUGGACUGAACUGGUGUCUGAUUCGCGUCUGUGCAGACAGCACAGACACGUGUUGGAAAAACGGGCAUAACUUCUUGCUCGGGUAUCGGUUUUACGCACCGUUUCUUGAUUCCGAAACUAGACUCGUAUAUCUUUCUGAAUAUGUAUGGGUUGUGUCGUGGUUCUUUCUAGAUUAUAGCAGUUUUUGAAUUAAAGUUCAGGUUUUGGUACUUCUGAAAUUCUGGACAGCUUUUGGCUUGUGUUCGUCAUGAAAUUCCUCAAGAUUAAGCAUGCUGGGUGGACAUGGGUUCUCAUGAGUCUUAAACAUGGAUCAAUUGGUGAUGUUUUGGUGUUGGAAUUAUUGGAAAAUAUUGAGUAUGUGAUUUUUAAUGAGCUUUCGAUCGCAGACUGUUCUGCUGAAAACUGUGAAUUCUGCUUUAGAUAUGUAACUUCAUUUGAGCGUAUCCUGGUCAUUCAAACUCUGUUUAGGACAAAUUUUAUAUCAAAAUUCAUGUACCGGAGGUGUACUUUCUAAUGGUGGUGGUUUCAUAAUCUGGUUUUAACCCUAUAAGAAGUUAUAAGCAGAAUACGACAGGCUGGUCAUAGAUUUCAAACCAAAUGUAGGGGUUAUGUGGUGUUUGAGUGUUACGCUUGUUUAGGGACACAUCUAAACCUUUGAGAUAGACAUGUUAGUAUGCGUUAAGUAUUGUUAAUCUAUUGUUGGUAUUAUAGAGUAUUGUUAGGAGGUAGUUUUGACGUUUAAGCGUUCAAUAAACUGAUAUGGUUAGCUUGUGGUUAGGUAACAAGCCGAUCAAUUGGAGAGAUUCCGAAACUGUAAGUUUGGCGUACCUCGAUCGAUACAAGGUGAGUGUGUCUGAUAUGGUUCUUCCCAAUAAAAUGUUGCUGUGGUGGUGAGUGUAUAACUUGCUAAUCGUAGUAAGCUUUCGAUAUGGUUAUCUUUAAUGAGAUAUUGCUGUAAUGGUGAGUGUAUAUCAUGCUAUUGUUGUUUAGCUUAUGAUAUGUGAGUGUUUGAUUCAUAUAUGUUGUUCUAUAUUGAAUUGAACUUGAUUGUUGGCUUAGUGCCCGGUGAUUGGCUUUAUGCCAAAAGGCUUUAUGCCUUAAACUAUUGGCUGUGUGCCCGGUGAUUGGCUUUAUGCCAUAUGGCUUUAUGCCUUAAACUAUUGGCUGUGUGCCCGGUGAUUGGCUUAAUGCCAAAAGGCUUUAUGCCUUAAAUUAUUGGCUAUGUGCCCGGUGUUGCUCUUAAUUUUUCGAUAAACUGUUGACAAGUUGAGAUUAUCUUUUAGCUGUUGGAUAUUACUGUUAUGUUGUAAUUGGAGGAUGUGGUGAUUAUAUCUGUUAUGUACAUUUGAGUAUCUCAGAUAUGUUGAGAAUUUAUAUUUUGGUUGUUAUUUAUUCGGUUGUUGCUAUAUUUUGUUGAGCAUUUCUAUAUCUCACACACUCUGGCUUUCCUUUUUGGUCUGCCAGGUAGCAGGUUGCGUAGAGUGGGUCCACUACCGGUCAUCGUGUCGAGAAGUGUUUGGGCUAGCAUUAGAUGAUGUGGAUGAACGAGUUGGUUGUAGGUAGUAAACUAAAAAGUUGAUUUAUGUAAGUUAUAAAUAAGUCGUUGGUGGAUGUAUUAAAGUGUAAAAUUUUUAAAGUAUUGUAAAACUAUAUUGUUGUUUAGUUGUGCGAGAUCGUGGUUGGUUGGUCGAUACGUCGACUCAUUUUUAUGUUAAGGUGAUAAGUCUUCCGCUGGGUGUUAUUCUGACAGGUUGUGAGGUGUGGUUCGGUUUUGGUGUGGAAUGUCACGUGGUCGCGUCGACUCGGGCCCACAUUGGGUGCCGUUUGCGGGGCGGGGCGUGACAGCUUGGUAUCAGAGCUAGUACGAUCUAGUCUCUGUGUUAAGAGUCGAUUGGGGGUUUGGUAGUGGACCAUAUGGUGUUGUGUCUGUCGAGUACGUGUCCGUAUUUAAUACUUAGCACUAUGUUGUUGGUGGUGGUUUGAAUUGUUGAAACAGGUUAUUGAUAUGGCUCAGUUCAUGGAGCAGCAAAUGGUAAUUAUUCCAUGGUAGAUUGUGCUUGCACUAGCAGUGUCUUAUGUGGGCUGUGUUCUGUGUGUUAGAAGUAAAUGGACUGAAUGGUUCAUGGCAUUAUGGAGAGUAUGUGCUAAUGCAUGUCAAGGAGCCCAGGCUUUGCUGGAUAUGGUGAUAGGUAGCAGGUUGCGUAGAGUGGGUCCACUACCGGUCAUCGUGUUGAGAAGUGUUUGGGCUAGCAUUAGAUGAUGUGGAUGAACGAGUUGGUUGUAGGUAGUAAACUAAAAAGUUGAUUUAUGUAAGUUAUAAAUAAGUCGUUGGUGGAUGUAUUAAAGUGUAAAAUUUUUAAAGUAUUGUAAAACUAUAUUGUUGUUUAGUUGUGCGAGAUCGUGGUUGGUUGGUCGAUACGUCGACUCAUUUUUAUGUUAAGGUGAUAAGUCUUCCGCUGGGUGUUA